rnacentral:rRNA from 1 species
AAAGUCCCGCAAGGGAUUAGUAGAGUGGCAAACGGGUGAGUAACACGUGGGUGACCUGCCCUCGAGCGGGGGAUAACGUCCCGAAAGGGACGCUAAUACCGCAUGACAUCCUGCCUUUGAACAGGCGGAGAUCAAAGCUGGGGAUCGCAAGACCUAGCACUCGAAGAGGGGCCCGCGCCUGAUUAGCUAGUUGGUGAGGUAAUGGCUCACCAAGGCUACGAUCAGUAUCCGGCCUGAGAGGGCGGACGGACACACUGGGACUGAGACACGGCCCAGACUCCUACGGGAGGCAGCAGUGGGGAAUUGUUCGCAAUGGGCGCAAGCCUGACGACGCAACGCCGCGUGGAGGAUGAAGACCUUCGGGUCGUAAACUCCUUUCGAUCGAGACGAAUGGCCUCCGGGUGAACAAUCCGGAGGAGUGACGGUACCGAGAGAAGAAGCCCCGGCUAACUCCGUGCCAGCAGCCGCGGUAAUACGGGGGGGGCAAGCGUUGUUCGGAAUUACUGGGCGUAAAGGGCUCGUAGGCGGCCAACUAAGUCAGACGUGAAAUCCCUCGGCUUAACCGGGGAACUGCAUCUGAUACUGGAUGGCUUGAGUUCGGGAGAGGGAUGCGGAAUUCCAGGUGUAGCGGUGAAAUGCGUAGAUAUCUGGAGGAACACCGGUGGCGAAGGCGGCAUCCUGGACCGACACUGACGCUGAGGAGCGAAAGCCAGGGGAGCAAACGGGAUUAGAUACCCCGGUAGUCCUGGCCCUAAACGAUGAAUGCUUGGUGUGGCGGGUAUCGAUCCCUGCCGUGCCG